rnacentral:misc_RNA from 1 species
GAUGAAGAACGUAGCGAAAUGCGAUAAGUAAUGUGAAUUGCAGAAUUCCGUGAAUCAUCGAAUCUUUGAACGCACAUUGCGCCCCUUGGUAUUCCAUGGGGCAUGCCUGUUCGAGCGUCAUUUGUACCUUCAAGCUUUGCUUGGUGUUGGGUGUUUGUCUCGCCUUUGCGUGUAGACUCGCCUUAAAAUAAUUGGCAGCCGGCGUAUUGAUUUCGGAGCGCAGUACAUCUCGCGCUUUGCACUCAUAACGACAGCGUCCAAAAGUACAUUUUACACUCUUGACCUCGGAUCAGGUAGGGAUACCCGCUGAACUUAAGCAUAUCAAUAAGCGGAGGA